AAUAGAUACCCGGGUAGUCCACGCCGUAAACGGUGGGCACUAGGUGUGGGCGACAUUCCACGUCGUCCGUGCCGCAGCUAACGCAUUAAGUGCCCCGCCUGGGGAGUACGGCCGCAAGGCUAAAACUCAAAGGAAUUGACGGGGGCCCGCACAAGCGGCGGAGCAUGUGGCUUAAUUCGACGCAACGCGAAGAACCUUACCAAGGCUUGACAUACACCGGAAAACCCUGGAGACAGGGUCCCCCUUGUGGUCGGUGUACAGGUGGUGCAUGGCUGUCGUCAGCUCGUGUCGUGUGAUGUUGGGUUAAGUCCCGCAACGAGCGCAACCCUUGUCCCGUGUUGCCAGCAGGCCCUUGUGGUGCUGGGGACUCACGGGAGACCGCCGGGGUCAACUCGGAGGAAGGUGGGGACGACGUCAAGUCAUCAUGCCCCUUAUGUCUUGGGCUGCACACGUGCUACAAUGGCCGGUACAAUGAGCUGCGAUACCGCGAGGUGGAGCGAAUCUCAAAAAGCCGGUCUCAGUUCGGAUUGGGGUCUGCAACUCGACCCC
rnacentral:rRNA from 1 species